ensembl:lncRNA
GGAAAAAUUCUCAUUUUUUAUUUAGUUUAACUUGAUGUCCUAAAUAGCUAAAACUGGAAUAAAAUUAAUAAAAAAAUAUAUAGACACAUUGUUAAAAAAGUGACAAAAACACAAGCUUACUAACAUUUGUACUACAAUUAAAUCGAAAUGGAAAAAAAUGUAUAUUACAAAAAUAAAUAAAUCGUUUUUAAAAAAGUGACAAAAACACAAACUUGCUAAAAUUUUUACUAAAUUAAAUCCAAACGGAAAAUAAAAACGAUUUCAGCAUAUUACAAAAAAAUUUAUACAAUAAUAAUAAAAAAAAAAAAACUAAUAGUAUCUAGAGACACUGAUAUAACUGCUUCAGUGUUUCCGCCGCACAGAACACCAGGAAAAGAAAAGAAAAGAAAAGAAAAGAAAAGAAAAGAAAAGAAAAGAAAAGAAAAGAAAAGAAAAGAAAAGAAAAGAAUGACGUCAGUUUGUAGGCCAGCGACUGCGCAGCUGCCGCUUCUCUAUCAGGACUACAUUUCCCAUGAGCGCUCGCGCUCACCGUCAGUCCGCUGCUGUCAUUUACGCGACGGACGAAAAGCGUGCGCCCGCAUAAACCUGCUGGAACCGGAGAAGUUGAAGCUCUUCACGAUGUUAACACUGACACUGAGACAACUGAUCAGGUGAAAUGUUCCCGCGUAUGGCGCGAGGUUUCUCGCUCUUUCACCUUCGCGAGCGCAGAAGUGUCCCAUCAUGCACCAGUGAAGCGCAGACGUGCUCCAUCUCUCUGGAUUAGCGUGAUAAUGUCGCGGGCCGCUCUGGGAAAUUGGCUUUCCACACUCCUGAUUGUUCGUGUCACUCCCUUUGGCCCGACGGGAGGAAGCGGAGACCUCUCGCUCACACUCCUGACGCCCGUGUCAUUCUGCGCCCAAUCGGACGGCAAUUUGUGGCGGCGCUCGCCCAUUAGUCGCUGGCGGCGCGAGCGCGGCGGUGUCAUCCUGAGCGAUAUUCCUGACACCUCCGACACCGCGCUGCGCCGCUGAUUGUUGUCUAGUGCCGACGUGAUGGACGGCAGUCAUCUGUAAAAUUGACUCUUUGCUCUGAAGAGAAAGGAAAUAACCAAAAUAAUCAGCAAAAUGAAAUGUUUUUCUGGCUUUUUCUGAACUGCAAAAGCAGAUGUGAGCAGACGACGACUGAGAUGAUGAAACAAUACAUCCAACAGCUGUGUGUGUGUGAGAGAGUGUGUGUGUGUGUGUGUGAGUCUAUGUAUGUGUAUGAGUCUGUCUGUGUGUGUGUGUGUGAGUGUGUGUGUGUGUGUGUGUAUGAGUCUGUCUGUGAGUGUGUGUGAGUCUGUGUGUGUUAGUCUAUGAGUGAGUGAGUGAGUGUGUGUGAGUCUGUGUGUGUUAGUCUAUGAGUGAGUGAGUGAGUGUGUGUGAGUCUGUGUAUGUGUAUGAGUCUGUCUGUGUGUGAGUGUGUGUGAGUCUGUGUGUGUGAGUCUGUGUGUGUGAGUCUGUGUGUGUG